UCUUAAAAACCACAGGUUUAUUUGUUAGGAUUUAGAGUUUGUUUUGUUUUGUUUUGUUUUGUUUUGUUUUGUUUUGUUUUGUUUUGUUUUGUUUUGUUUUGUUUUGUUUUGUUUUGUUUUGGCCUUCUGGCCCACACUCCAUUCCAGAAGGUGGCGGUAAUGCACCUAAACGUUGUUUGCCAACGGCCAUUAAACAACAACAGAAGAAGAAGAAGCUAACAUUACUUGUUAGCCUGUGCAAUCGAGUAAGGGUUUUCUUUUAUUUAAAGUUAGAAUAAAAACACAACACAUUUAUCUUAUCAUCAAGUGGUCCAAGGCGUUGUUUACAUUACGUGCUGCAUUCAAUUGUCACAUAGGGACCUCCUUCCUUGUCGCCUCCCAACAGGAAGCCACGGGGUCAGGCCGAGUUGAGUCCCACGUCAGGAUUGUCCCCACGCUGACCUGAGCCUGACUGGCCUCCCAGCUAAAAGCCCCUGUGAAGAAACAUCUUUGCGCUGAUGAGCCGAAGGUGAAAAAAAAACCCUCCUCGCCCUCUCCCCCAGCUGAACAUCUGUCUCCUCGGUGUUGGCUUCACCGCCGACUCUGACGCCUCCAGAUGGAGAGCCUGCUGGGAGCGCUGAGGGAUUACCUCCAGAGUCGGCAGAGARCACUCGUUUUCUGCACCGCUCUCUUUCUGCUGCCGUCGAAUCUGUUGCCUCGCGAGUCCACCAAAGAGCAGGCUUUGUUUUUAUUUUAUUUUUAUUUUUUAAAGCACGUCAAACAUCUGAGCUCUUCUUCUAAAUCCACAGCAAUAAACUGUGAAUUCUUGUAUUCAUUCUUGUGAAAGAGCUCAACGAUUUCUUUUCUUAAUGACGCUUUAAAGAGAUGAAAGUUCACACGGUUUGGUCAGAAUGUUCCACAAUCUCGUUAGCUUGAAUAUUAAAAGCAAUACCUGCAAAUAUCUAAAGCGUAAAAAAAAUAAUAAUAAUAAUAAAAUGGGAGUUUUUGCUCCACGACUUUA